CAAUAGCGUAUAUUAAAGUUGUUGCAGUUAAAAAGCUCGUAGUUGGAUUUCUGGUGGGAGCGAUCGGUCUGGCGCUUAGCGCGAGUACUUGCAUCGUCUCCGGCCAUCCUUGGGGAGAGUCUGUCUGGCAUUAGGCUGUCGGGCAGAGGAUCCUCAUCGUUUACUGUGAAAAAAUUAGAGUGUUCAAAGCAGGCUUAUGCCGUUGAAUAUAUUAGCAUGGAAUAAUAAGAUAGGACUUUGGUACUAUUUUGUUGGUUUGCGCACCAAAGUAAUGAUUAAUAGGGACAGUUGGGGGUAUUCGUAUUCCGUUGUCAGAGGUGAAAUUCUUGGAUUUACGGAAGACGAACUACUGCGAAAGCAUUUACCAAGGAUGUUUUCAUUAA
rnacentral:rRNA from 1 species